rnacentral:rRNA from 1 species
GAUGAACGCUAGCGGAAGGCCUAAUACAUGCAAGUCGAACGGGCAUAUUGAUUUCGGUUAAUAUGUUAGUGGCGCACGGGUGAGUAACGCGUACACAACCUACCUUAUAUUGGGGGAUAGCCCUGGGAAACUGGGAGUAAUACCGCAUAACAUUAUAGAGAGGCAUCUUUUUUANAAUUAAAGCAUUUGCGAUAUAAGAUGGGUGUGCGUCUGAUUAGGUAGUUGGUAGGGUAACGGCCUACCAAGCCGACGAUCAGUAGGGGGUGUGAGAGCAUGGCCCCCCACACGGGUACUGAGACACGGACCCGACUCCUACGGGAGCAGCAGUAAGG